UCUUUCAUUCACUCCUUGUGCUUCCUUGUUGGUGCUCCUUUGGAUUUAUGGUUUGUCGUCUGUCCUGGCUCCCAGAGUUUUUAUUUGUUGCAGCUUCCUGCCUGCUGGCUCUACUGUGGGAACUGGAUGCAGACCACCUCCAGUUCCUGUCUGAGGCCUACAGCAGAUCUAAUUGGAUCAUCACAGAAGAUGCAAUUGGUUCUUCGUCAAAAUGAUGGACAUCAAGAAAGUCUAACACAACCUCUGACAGAGAGAUCUGGAAGAUGACUCGUCUCUGUACCCACUUACAUGCAGAAGCUGAGGGAGCUAAAUUCUCUUGCAAGAAGGAAUGAUGAGUGCAUGUAUGAUUCUGUCUGAAUUCAUCUCCAACUCACUAAACCUCUGUAAUUACAUCCCCUCACAGGAAAAAAAUAAACCAUUUUCAUCUAUUGGGAUGAUGAAUUUGACAAUAUGUAGACUUCACAUCUGCAGGAAACGCACAAAUCUCUGUCUUUGAUGGUGCUGAUCUGAAGGCUGUGUAAUUAAACAUUGUU